GGACAGAAAGAGAACUGUCUACUGGAGCUGUCAUAGACGGUAACUACUCAUGAUGUGUACCACUGCGUGCUUUAAGUCUGCUGCUAAAAGCACAUGUACGAUGCCUGUGUGACAACUGGGUGCAAAUGUAACGGAGGCCUGGCACCGAGGGACAUUAUCUGGACCUGGGACAGGAGCCAUCACUUCAGCUUCAAGGGACAGAUAUUUUGAUCAUCAGUGCUUUCUACUGAAAGAUUAGUAAUCGAAAGAGGAAACAAACGGGGAAGUCUGCACAUACAGAGAUUGUGGCAUAAAUGGGAUUACAGAGAAUAUAGCCUUUGAGACUGGCUUCUUUCCCUCAGCAGAACACCACAGAGACUGGCCCACACUGCUGUGAGCAUCCACAGUUCAUCUCUUUUUACUGCUAACUAACAACACAGGCGGACCUGGGAGGUACUGCGCGUCUGGUUCCAGACCACUGAGAUAAAGUAAGUCAAGUCAAUCUUUUGGUUUCCCAGGUUCACAUAAAAGUUCACACUGUACCGCAGUCUAU